rnacentral:hammerhead_ribozyme from 1 species
AUCCAGUUGACGAGUGCCAAAUAGGAUGAAGAGCGCUCCCUGGAU